rnacentral:rRNA from 1 species
AGAGUUUGAUCCUGGCUCAGGACGAACGCUGGCGGCGUGCCUAAUACAUGCAAGUCGAACGCUUCUUUUCUACCGAGUGCUUGCACUCACUUGAAAAGAGGAGUGGCGGACGGGUGAGUAACACGUGGGUAACCUACCCAUCAGAGGGGGAUAACACUUGGAAACAGGUGCUAAUACCGCAUAAUAGUCGACAUCGCAUGGUGUUGAUUUGAAAGACGCUUUCGGGUGUCACUGAUGGAUGGACCCGCGGUGCAUUAGCUAGUUGGUGAGGUAACGGCUCACCAAGGCCAUGAUGCAUAGCCGACCUGAGAGGGUGAUCGGCCACACUGGGACUGAGACACGGCCCAGACUCCUACGGGAGGCAGCAGUAGGGAAUCUUCGGCAAUGGACGAAAGUCUGACCGAGCAACGCCGCGUGAGUGAAGAAGGUUUUCGGAUCGUAAAACUCUGUUGUUAGAGAAGAACAAGUAGGAGAGUAACUGCUCUUACCUUGACGGUAUCUAACCAGAAAGCCACGGCUAACUACGUGCCAGCAGCCGCGGUAAUACGUAGGUGGCAAGCGUUGUCCGGAUUUAUUGGGCGUAAAGCGAGCGCAGGCGGUUUCUUAAGUCUGAUGUGAAAGCCCCCGGCUCAACCGGGGAGGGUCAUUGGAAACUGGGAGACUUGAGUGCAGAAGAGGAGAGUGGAAUUUCCAUGUGUAGCGGUGAAAUGCGUAGAUAUAUGGAGGAACACUAGUGGCGAAGCGACUCUCUGGUCUGUAACUGACGCUGAGCUCGAAGCGUGGGGAGCAAACAGGAUUAGAUAC